rnacentral:rRNA from 1 species
UACGUAGGGCGCGAGCGUUGUCCGGAAUUAUUGGGCGUAAAGAGCUCGUAGGCGGCUUGUCGCGUCGGUUUGUGAAAGCCCGGGGCUUAACCCCGGGUCUGCAGUCGAUACGGGCAGGCUAGAGUUCGGUAGGGGGAGAUCGGAAUUCCUGGUGUAGCGGUGAAAUGCGCAGAUAUCAGGAGGAACACCGGUGGCGAAGGCGGAUCUCUGGGCCGAUACUGACGCUGAGGAGCGAAAGCGUGGGGAGCGAACAGG